rnacentral:rRNA from 1 species
GAUGAACGCUGGCGGCGUGCUUAACACAUGCAAGUCGAACGAAGCACUUUAUUUGAUUUCCUUCGGGACUGAUUAUUUUGUGACUGAGUGGCGUACGGGUGAGUAACGCGUGGUUAACCUGCCCUGUACAGGGGGAUAACAGUUGGAAACGGCUGCUACUACCGCAUAAGCGCACGGCAUCGCAUGAUGCAGUGUGAAAAACUCCGGUGGUAUAAGAUGGACCCGCGUUGGAUUAGCUAGUUGGUGAGGUAACGGCCCACCAAGGCGACGAUCCAUAGCCGACAUGAGAGGGGGACCGGCGACAUUGGGAAUGAGACACGGACCAAACUCCUACGGGAGGGAGCAGUGGGGAAUAUUGCACAAUGGGCGAAAGCCUGAUGAAGCGACGCCGCGUGAGAGAAGAAGUAUUUCGGUAUGUAAAGCUCUAUCAGAAGAGAAGAUAAUGACGGUACCUGACUAAGAAGCACCGGCUAAAUACGUG